rnacentral:rRNA from 1 species
AUGAACGCUAGCUACAGGCUUAACACAUGCAAGUCGAGGGGCAUCAGGGUGUAGCAAUACACCGCUGGCGACCGGCGCACGGGUGAGUAACACGUAUCCAACCUGCCCUUUACUCGGGGAUAGCCUUUCGAAAGAAAGAUUAAUACCCGAUGGCAUAACAUGACCUCCUGGUUUUGUUAUUAAAGAAUUUCGGUAGAGGAUGGGGAUGCGUUCCAUUAGGCAGUUGGCGGGGUAACGGCCCACCAAACCUUCGAUGGAUAGGGGUUCUGAGAGGAAGGUCCCCCACAUUGGAACUGAGACACGGUCCAAACUCCUACGGGAGGCAGCAGUGAGGAAUAUUGGUCAAUGGGCGAGAGCCUGAACCAGCCAAGUAGCGUGAAGGAUGACCGCCCUAUGGGUUGUAAACUUCUUUUAUAUGGGAAUAAAGGGUGCCACGUGUGGCAUUUUGUAUGUACCAUAUGAAUAAGGAUCGGCUAACUCCGUGCCAGCAGCCGCGGUAAUACGGAGGAUCCGAGCGUUAUCCGGAUUUAUUGGGUUUAAAGGGAGCGUAGGUGGACAUGUAAGUCAGUUGUGAAAGUUUGCGGCUCAACCGUAAAAUUGCAGUUGAUACUGCGUGUCUUGAGUACAGUAGAGGUGGGCGGAAUUCGUGGUGUAGCGGUGAAAUGCUUAGAUAUCACGAAGAACUCCGAUUGCGAAGGCAGCUCACUGGACUGCAACUGACACUGAUGCUCGAAAGUGUGGGUAUCAAACAGGAUUAGAUACCCUGGUAGUCCACACAGUAAACGAUGAAUACUCGCUGUUUGCGAUAUACAGUAAGCGGCCAAGCGAAAGCAUUAAGUAUUCCACCUGGGGAGUACGCCGGCAACGGUGAAACUCAAAGGAAUUGACGGGGGCCCGCACAAGCGGUGGAGCAUGUGGUUUAAUUCGAAGCAACGCGAAGAACCUUACCAAGUCUUGACAUCCUUCUGACCGUUCCUUAGCCGGAACUUCCCUUCGGGGCAGAAGAGACAGGUGGUGCAUGGUUGUCGUCAGCUCGUGCCGUGAGGUGUCGGCUUAAGUGCCAUAACGAGCGCAACCCUUAUCUUCAGUUACUAACAGGUCAUGCUGAGGACUCUGGAGAGACUGCCGUCGUAAGAUGUGAGGAAGGUGGGGAUGACGUCAAAUCAGCACGGCCCUUACGUCCGGGGCUACACACGUGUUACAAUGGGGAGUACAGAGGGCAGCUACCGGGCGACCGGAUGCGAAUCCCGAAAGCUCCUCUCAGUUCGGACUGGAGUCUGCAACCCGACUCCACGAAGCUGGAUUCGCUAGUAAUCGCGCAUCAGCCACGGCGCGGUGAAUACGUUCCCGGGCCUUGUACACACCGCCCGUCAAGCCAUGGGAGCCGGGGGUACCUGAAGUACGUAACCGCAAGGAGCGUCCUAGGGUAAAACUGGUGACUGGGGCU